AUCUCCAACAAUGGCGAGUUCCUCCAUCUUGCUUGCUAAUUUACAAGCUAACCGCUGCUUAGACACUUUUCAGUGAUUGAGAGUAAUGAAUGGCGGGAGACACAUUUAAAGCACUUACAAACCUUGUGUGCUCAUGUUUGUUAGGAAUCGGUGAUAGCUUUCUUUUUCUCUAGCUUAUAGAGAAAGUUUGUAUCAAACAAAUAAUUUUGAAGCUUGCUUUGGACAAUGAUUGAUUGUGGCAUACUCAGGAUGAUCUGCAAGUUGGACUCAAAGACCUACAAGACUUUCUGAAACCAACGUAACAAGUGAAUUCUUACCAGGAUAUUUGAUCGAUAUAGUCAAUAAACACCAGAAGCUAGGACAAGCAUUUUUUACCAUUACAUUAAUGCUGGAACCAUCAGGCCAACAAGACUUGGAGAGCAGUCAAAACUCAUUGAAUUUGGUACAAUGCAUUGUCUCUGUGAUCUUGCUGAUGCACAAGGACAUCAAAGUCAAGGAAGAUAUUAUCACCAUCCAAGUCAGAGAUUGAAUUGGUUCUGCACAACGUUAUCACACUGCAGUCCUCCGAUCUUGACUGUAGCCAUAUGAUGAAAACCACAGAAGAGCAACUUAGGAUUGCAUCUAAUAGCUUAAUAAGCUGUGCAACAAUAUAAUGAUUUGUGCUCUCGGUGUAAAAACUAUAUGACUUUCCUUUUUUUAAUUUGGGAAAGCACCAAUUUAAAGUACACAAUUUUG